rnacentral:rRNA from 1 species
CCUACGGGAGGCAGCAGUGGGGAAUUUUGGACAAUGGGCGCAAGCCUGAUCCAGCCAUGCCGCGUGCGGGAAGAAGGCCUUCGGGUUGUAAACCCGCUUUUUGUCAGGGAAGAAAAGGUUCUGGCUAAUACCUGGGACUCAUGACGGUACCUGAAGAAUAAGCACCGGCUAACUACGUGCCAGCAGCCGCGGUAAUACGUAGGGUGCAAGCGUUAAUCGGAAUUACUGGGCGUAAAGCGUGCGCAGGCGGUUAUGCAAGACAGAGGUGAAAUCCCCGGGCUCAACCUGGGAACUGCCUUUGUGACUGCAUAGCUAGAGUACGGUAGAGGGGGAUGGAAUUCCGCGUGUAGCAGUGAAAUGCGUAGAUAUGCGGAGGAACACCGAUGGCGAAGGCAAUCCCCUGGACCUGUACUGACGCUCAUGCACGAAAGCGUGGGGAGCAAACGAGAGUAGUAUACCUACGUAGUACCGACCGACCGUAACCGAACGUAGUACGUACGUACGUUAGGUUGGUUAGGGUUACGGUUUCGUUCGUACGUAACGUAACGUACGUACGUACGUCGUAGUAGUACGGCCGUCGGGUACGGGUACGGACCGGUCCGUACGUAGUUAACGUUAACGUAAGAAGUUAGUAGGCGGNGNGAGACGCGACGACGACGACGAGGAGGAGGNGG